rnacentral:rRNA from 1 species
AAUGAGUGAUGGCGUGCCUUUUGUAGAAUGAACCGGCGAGUUACGAUUGCAUGCGAGGUUAAGUCGAAGAGACGGAGCCGCAGCGAAAGCGAGUCUGAAUAGGGCGAAUGAGUAUGUAGUCGUAGACCCGAAACCAUGUGAUCUACCCAUGUCCAGGUUGAAGGUGCGGUAAAACGCACUGGAGGACCGAACCCACGUACGUUGAAAAGUGCGGGGAUGAGGUGUGGGUAGCGGAGAAAUUCCAAACGAACUUGGAGAUAGCUGGUUCUCUCCGAAAUAGCUUUAGGGCUAGCCUCGGAAUUGAGAAUGAUGGAGGUAGAGCACUGUUUGGACUAGGGGCCCAUCUCGGGUUACCGAAUUCAGAUAAACUCCGAAUGCCAUUCAUUUAUAUCCGGGAGUCAGACUGCGAGUGAUAAGAUCCGUAGUCGAAAGGGAAACAGCCCAGACCACCAGCUAAGGUCCCAAAAUAUAUGUUAAGUGGAAAAGGAUGUGGGGUUGCACAGACAACUAGGAUGUUGGCUUAGAAGCAGCCACCAUUUAAAGAGUGCGUAAUAGCUCACUAGUCGAGUGACCCUGCGCCGAAAAUGUACCGGGGCUAAACAUAUUACCGAAGCUGUGGACUACACCAUUAGGUGUAGUGGUAGGAGAGCGUUCUAAGGGCGUUGAAGGUCGAUCGUGAGGACGGCUGGAGCGCUUAGAAGUGAGAAUGCCGGUAUGAGUAGCGAAAG